AUUACUUUAUGAUCAUAAUUCACAAAGUAAGCAAUUGACCUCAAUCAAGAUAAUAAACUUUAAUAAAUUUUCGCGAUGUGUACACAGAACAUCGAUCAGAAAUUACACGUGAAACACCUGAUGUUUAACUUGAUCGCUUGGCGAUUAAAAAACCCAGCAAUACCAUGGAAUCGGUGACCUCGCUUUCGCUAGAUUUUCUGAUACAGUAACGGACGUCUGCAUUCUAAACGGGAGAUUACAGUAGGCAGCGAGACAAUGAAGACAGGACAAUCGCAACUCGUGAGAGGUGUUCAUGUUCGUCAAAGAGUUAAGGUCCGUUUAGCGGUAAAGUGGAAAGUGAAGGUAUAUACCAACACAUUGGCAAUGAUGUUGCAUUCACGAUGUGUUCUUUCAUUCUCUCCCAAGGUACAACAUUUCCUUCUAUCGUCCAGACGCACGCACACGUGCGAUGACACGUGUGUGCACUCUUUCGCUCUCUAGAUACAUACAUACAUACGUUAUAUACGCGUGAAAUAAAUCUUAUGUAAACGCGAGUGAAACCACCGACGUAUCGAAUUUGAUCGGCGCAUCCAUGUCGUCUUUCGAUUUCUAUGUUUUAUUUAUUUAUUUAUUUUUUCGUUCUACUACGGACUGACUGAAAAAUUUAGCUCACUGGGUUCAUGGAUUUUUAUCAUAGAUAAAGAAGAGAAGAAUUUUCUAAAUAAAUCAAUUAAUGACUA
rnacentral:misc_RNA from 1 species